CCUACGGGUGGCUGCAGUGUGGAAUAUUGGACAAUGGGCGCAAGCCUGAUCCAGCAAUACCGCGUGUGUGAAGAAGGCCUUAGGGUUGUAAAGCACUUUCAAUGGGGAGGAAAACCUACCGGUCAAUACCCGGUAGCUUGACAUUACCUGUAGAAGAAGCACCGGCUAACUCCGUGCCAGCAGCCGCGGUAAUACGGAGGGUGCAUGCGUUAAUCGGAAUGACUGGACAUAAAGCGUGCGUAGACGGUUGAAAGCCCCGGGCGUAACCUGGGAACUGCAUUUGAAACUGGCGGACUAGAGUUGAGUAGAGGGGAGUGGAAUUUCAGGUGUAGCGGUGAAAUGCGUAGAUAUCUGAAGGAACACCAGUGGCGAAGGCGACUCCCUGGACUCAAACUGACGCUGAGGUACGAAAGCGUGGGUAGCAAACAGGAUUAGAUACCCUUGUAGUC
rnacentral:rRNA from 1 species